rnacentral:rRNA from 1 species
UACGUAGGGUGCAAGCGUAUCCGGAAUUAUUGGGCGUAAAGAGCUCGUAGGCGGUUUGUCGCGUCUGCUGUGAAAACCUAAGGCUCAACCUUGGGCUUGCAGUGGGUACGGGCAGACUAGAGUGCGGUAGGGGUGACUGGAAUUCCUGGUGUAGCGGUGGAAUGCGCAGAUAUCAGGAGGAACACCGAGUGGGCGAAGGC